AGACCCAUACCAUAAGAGAGUCGACGUGAUCAUCGUAACCUGCGCUUCUCCUUCUCUGCCAUUACCAGAGAUUGCCAUCGUGAAGAAUCUCCUCCUAGGGUUUUCACGACAUCGUUUGCUCUUCUCUUAAUCAAUUGAAACACCCACAGUUACAGAUCCAUUGCGUUAAAUGCCUCUUUAAUCCAUCAACCACGAUGGGUCUUUAAUGCGAGUCUCUCUUCUCCAGGGCGGUCUAUUUGUUAGUAUAAAUAGGUAUGCCUUCGUCCUCCGGAAUACCUUAAUUUUCUUCUUCCCUUUUUGAUUUCUCAUGAUUUCAUCAACGUAUACUCAAUUUCUAUUUUUCUGUCUAAUUGUAUGUGCAAACAAAUAUUCCCAAUUGUAAAGAGAACCCCCAAUUUGAAAAAGGUUUUCAGGCGAUGAGUGAUCUUCGGCCAUAACAAAGAUCGUUUCUCCAUAAAAUCUUAGACUACGAAGAUGAGUUCUUUGCUGCUCUGAUGCUUAUCCUCGAAGGACAUAGCUUAAGAACCACAAGUUAGAUUUUGGGAUCAAUGUGUUUGGAUUGGAGUAGUGUCACUGUGUGUUAAUGUUUAGUUUUUUUAAUGAAUUGUUUGCAGAUGCUUUGUUUGUUGAAUCAUUGUAUGGUUUGAGGAGAAAGUCAGUUAGGUUGAGAUUAAGCAAAGGUUCCAGUACAUAAGUUCAACGUUCUGGUUUAGAGAAACGCCGGAGAGUCCUCUCUGUUGUGUUUCUGGUACUUGCACUUUGUAGUUUGUUUAUCUGUUAAAAGCAUAAAGCUUGUGCCUUUAAGCUUGGUACAACUUUCUGUUAGGUGCCUUUUUUUGUAGGUUGUGUUACCGUAUUUUAAGUUAAAGUUGCAUGGUAUAUAUAACAAGGAAAGGGAAGUGAGGCUCUGGGAGAGUUUAUGGGGAUCAGAGGAUCAAGGGUUUGAUGAAGCUAAUUUCUUUACAGGAGAGGAAACAAUUGUUUCAAGAAGGGAUAAUGGGAAUCAUGAGCUUUCUGUUUGAGUACAGUUAGCUACGAGAAUUAAGAAGUUUGUAGCUGUGUGCUGUCCUUGGAUAGAUGUAUCAAGUGAAGGUAGUUUCUGAUUUAUGUAGAGCACGGAUGUUUUGUAUAAUAGCUGAUAUGAUUCUUUCUAAUAGUUAGGUUGAGCUUCAUGCCUAGAGUUGGUAAUCUUGAUGUUCUAAACUGAAACCACAUUUCGUGCUGUUAGUCCAUUUCUGGAUGGUUCUGAGUAAUAUACUCUAAGCAUGUGUUUGAGUUA